rnacentral:rRNA from 1 species
CCCGGCGCCACGAGUGGCCAUCGCGAUUAUUGGGCCUAAAGCGUCCGUAGUCUGUCGAAUGCAUCUUCUGUGAAAUCGCUGCGCUUAACGUAGCGGCAUGCGGAAGACACGAUUCGACUUGAGACCGGGAGGCGUCGAGAGUAUUCCAGGGGGACCGGUAAAAUGGUAUAAUCCCUGGAGGACUACCCGUGGCGAAGGCGCUCGACGAGAACGGAUCUGACGAUGAGGGACGAAAGCCAGGGGAGCAAACCGGA